UCCCUGGUAGUAUAUCGGUUAGUACACGCGCCUGUCAUCCACUGUUAACCUGGGAAAUCACGGUGCGCGCGAAAGCUGGGUUCGACUCCCAGCCAGGGAG
rnacentral:tRNA from 1 species